GUUUUUGUGUUGUAUCGAGUAUCUGCCUGUAUAAAGCAGCAGUUAAACUGAGGACAUAAUGACCACAGGCUUGCUUCUUCUGCUCCUGGUGCUUUCUGGUUCUCAGGCAUCCCAUUACUUUGGGACAGUGAUGACCUUUACCCCUAAAGAAAGCACGGAUGAUGGAUCUCUAAGGGUGGUCUUUGACUACAAGUUGAGCUUUCGCUCAUGCACAGAUGAAGACAAGUGGAAAUGUGCCAGCGGUGACUGUGGUAGUGAGAGUGUGGAGCUGAACAUUGUGGAUGAAGAGGACAGAGAGUGGUGUCAGAGGGAAGGAGUCAUGACUCGGGAGGUUUCCAGCAACUCUCUGUUUCAGCUACGUCUGGCUGGUGGUGACUGGAUUAACAACAAAAACGGUAUUAGUAACUGGAAAGCUGUAACUCAGGUGGACCUGAGGACUCGAUCUGACACAGCUCAACCCAACAAAUCACCUCAGACCACCAUCCUGCCAGCUCUUAGAGUUCCGUCAAACUGUAAGAGAGAAUUCAGCCUGUUGGCCUUUGAUCCUGAUGAAGACGAGGUUCAAUGCAGAUAUGGAGACACAGCAGCAGAUGAGUGUAAUCCUUGUACACCGCCAUCUCUUCUAACCAUCACACCAUCUUGCAAACUGACCUUUCAUUCUGCGAGUAGGAGUGAUGAAGGUGCAUAUGCAAUACAGCUGGAGAUGGAGGACUUCCCCAAGCAGACCAUCUUUCUCCAUCAAAGUGAUGAUGUGGAGACAACAAGGACUCCCAGUGAUGCUCUCAGCAAAAUACCAAUCAGAUUUAGUCUAAUAGUGGACCCGCCUGUGCCAUCCUGUUCAGAGGGAGCCUACCUGCCAAAGUUUCUGCCUCCAACUCCCGUCAGUGGGGCUCAACUGUUGGCCUAUAUUAAUGAAACAUUGAAUAUUACCAUUAUGGCAGAGGCAACCAACACCAUGGUUUUGAAGCUUUUGUUCAGUGGACCACACACCGCUGUGAAACAUGUUGUAUCACAUGGAGAAUUCAUCCUGACCUGGACACCAUCUGACAGUGAAGAUGAAGAAAACCAUCCCAUCUGCUUCGUAGUCCAGGCAGAGUUAAAUACAGCCAAGUAUCACUCUGAGCUACGCUGUGUGAUUGUGAGCAUUCAAAUUAGACCAAUCACCACUCCUCUGCCAACAACUGUUCUGCCUUCAACCACCCCAGAACAAACAACCACUCUUCUGUUCAUAAAUGAAACAGAAGAUCAGGAGAAGGUGCUAUAUGAGUCCACAGGAUCAGGUGACGACAGCAUGGGUGCUGGCAAAGUUGUUGGUAUUGUGUUUGGUGUUGGAGCCGUCGCAGCCAUUGUUGGCGUUGCCUUGUGGGCUUUGAAUCGAAGUUCUCCUGUGCUCUAAAAAAGUUGGAGCUUUGGAUGAAGAUGGGAAAAACAAACCUGUAGAAUCUGGAUAUCACUGGUCUUCUAGCUACUUUCAGCUGCUCGCUUCUUGUGUCCCAAUCCAAUUUCUACAAAUGUAAAUGUUAUAUAAUGCAGAUCUGCAUUUUACUGUCAAAGCCUCACAUAAAUGGUCAAUGAACUGUUUUGAGGCUUUGGCUCCAUCUGUUGGUGAAAUGAUGGCAUUAAUGUACAAGGUUGUUCAUUAAAGCUGCAGGCAGACUCCCCCAGAUGCUGGUGACUCUGUUUUAUCAGAGAAAAAUUUAAAUACUGGCAAAAGGAAAUAUCUACAGAGACAAUAUGUGAAAGUAAAACGUCAUGCAUCAG
ensembl:lncRNA